CAAUCCCAUAGUGGCUGGUGGAAGCUGUGGUCAUUGAUGGGAAGCCAGAAGACAGAAUGCUUCUCCUGAGGGGAAAAAAGUAAUAAGUAGACUUCAUCUGUUAAAGAUGAAGAGUGCAGAGUCCCAUUCUAGGAGCUGUUCGUGUUUAUGUGUGCAUCUAAUCUCUUUGCAGAAUAUGCUGAUCUUGAUUGGAAGCUCAACCAAGGGAGAGAAAAACAGAGGGUUGUGUGUCCAGGGCAGUUUUCUAUGCCCUAUAUGUGAUAUCUCUGAACAGAUUAGCCGCUCUUGGAGGAAGGAAUCCAUGACCAGUUAUUUCUUCCUGCCUGACACAGCUUCCUUAUUCAAAAUUUUCAUAAGGAGAUCAAACCCAGCACUAAGGCUUACUAAGAGAGAGAAGAAACACAAUGUUGCCAAAAAGAGGAGUCACGAUGGUUAUUGCAGUGUCCUGCUCCAGAAGUUUGAUCAGAUGAACUAAGCAGACUGGCCCAGGGGCUGUCUCAGAUAUGGUCACCCAAGUCAAGGCACAGAAUCUAAGCAGCGUUGCAAGCUCAGAUGAAAUGCAGCUUCCUGUCAUUUAGCCUUAUCAAAAAGACAUGGGGUUGAAAGAGUCUAAACAGAGGUCUACACAUGGGAGAAAAAGAAAGGGGAAUAACUUCAGUUACUCUGUGACUGGUGGUAGUAAGGGUGCAGAAAGAGGAAGACGAUGAACUCCUCAUUGUUGAUUGUACAAUACUUUUGUAUUUUUGUUUCAAUUUUGAAAACACUCCUUAUUCACUAAUUGCCCAACACAUGUAUGCCUUGAAUCCAACAUGGGACUAAAACUUAAAAACAAAAAUAAAUAAACAGAUCAUGUGUUCAGAACUCCCUGGCCCUACACACAGCUUGCCCACCCCCAAAACUCAAACUACAACAUAGAACUGGAGACUGAGCGGUUGAGGGAAUGAAGAAUUGAAGUGGCUUUCUCUGGCCAGAUUCCAUUCAGGGAUCCAGCAUGGACACUGGCAACAGGCCUGUCUGAGAGUACGUUCUCUCUAGUAUUACUAUUUUCAUUCUAAUUAUGUAACUCUGAGCAAUUGCUUCAUAAUCAUUAUUGCUUUUUUCUCAUCUGUAAAAGGGGGAUAAUAAAUGCCAUCUGAGGUCUUUAUAAGGAUUAAAUAAUGAAAUAAUAUAUAGUGGUUGGCACUGUAAUAUAUUGUCCCUUAGCACAGCUCUUUGCUCAGUAAAAAGUGUUUAAUAGAUAGUUAGCUAUUAUGUAGUCUGCACUUUAACAUUAUUUGGAACCGUUUGAUUUUGGCCAUGAUCGUUGCCAUUUCAAUGUAUGACUUAUGAGUCAAAAACACCGAUUUAGCAUUUAAGAGGAAAAUAGUGGAUCUAUAUUAGCAAAAGUAGAAAUGUCUAAAGACAGACUUCACUAAUGUUUUACAGAUUUCUGGUAUUUGUAAUUUGUAGAGUUCUAGAAAACAGUGAGGCAGAUCCAAUUGAGAUGUUUGCUGCUCCCUAUCAAAAGUAAUUCUGAAGUGUUAAUUCUUUUGUCCCUUCUGUUUUGAGAUUGUUGUGUGGUUUGCUACAUGCCUCUAAAAAAACUAUUUACUCUCAGCUUCAGUUGGACUUACUUCCUUUUUGAUAAAAUAACAUUACUGAUAGGAAAAGCAGAGCUUUUUAUUUGUGUUCCUUCAUGAAUGUGUUCCUAUCACACAUGUCUCAAAGGCCAUUUACAUCAAUUAAGACACAAUAAACGUAUUUCUAACAGUCCUCAUCAUUCUGUGAUGUGCUCCACAUUGCUACGUAUGGAGCACUCUCUGUUCAUCCCUGCCUGUGAUGUCACCCUGGCCCAGCAAUCCAUCUGAAAUAUUGUGUUUUAUUAAGCCAUUUACCCAGUAUGCAUAGCAUUAUGAAUCAAGGUUAUUUCCUGUAGACUUUUGCUUUUUAGUAGUAGUCACAGCUGCAAUAAAAAAAAUGGCUUGAU
ensembl:lincRNA